rnacentral:rRNA from 1 species
AACUAACGCUGGCGGCGUGCCUAACACAUGCAAGUCGAACGAGAAAGUUGGCUUCGGCCGAUGAGUAAAGUGGCGCACGGGUGAGUAACGCGUGGAUAAUCUGCCCUUUAGUUUGGAAUAACGUACCGAAAGGUGCGCUAAUACCGGAUAAUACUGAAUGACUACUGUCGUUUAGUCAAAGAAGGCUUCUGUUUACAUGCUUUUGCUGAAGGAUGAGUCCGCGUACCAUUAGCUAGUUGGUAGGGUAAUGGCCUACCAAGGCGACGAUGGUUAGCUGGUCUGAGAGGAUGAUCAGCCACACUGGAACUGAGACACGGUCCAGACUCCUACGGGAGGCAGCAGUGAGGAAUAUUGCGCAAUGGGGGCAACCCUGACGCAGCAACGCCGCGUGAGUGAGGAAGGUUUUCGGACCGUAAAGCUCUGUCGAGCGGGAAGAAAUGCAUGGUGGCUAACAUCCAUCAUGCUUGACGGUACCGCUAAAGGAAGCACCGGCUAACUCCGUGCCAGCCGCCGCGGUAAGAC